AGAGUUUGAUCCUGGCUCAGAUUGAACGCUGGUGGUAUGCUUAACACAUGCAAGUCGAGCGGUCUAGGAACUAGAUACUAGAAACUAGAAACUAGGGGUUGAAUCGCUGCGCGAUGAUUUAUUCUAAAGAAUCACCUUGCUUGGUAAGGUUCGACUUCCACUUUCUAGUUUCUAGUCUCUAGUUUCUAGAUAGCGGCGGACGGGUGAGUAACGCGUAGGAAUCUGCCGUACAGAGGGGAACAACAGAUGGAAACGUCUGCUAAUACCGCAUGAAGCCUGAGGGUGAAAGGUCGCGCAAGCGGUCGCUGUAUGAUGAGCCUGCGUUGGAUUAGCUGGUUGGUGAGGUAAAGGCUCACCAAGGCGAUGAUCCAUAGCUGUUCUGAGAGGAAGAUCAGCCACACUGGGACUGAGACACGGCCCAGACUCCUACGGGAGGCAGCAGUGGGGAAUAUUGGACAAUGGGGGCAACCCUGAUCCAGCAAUACCACGUGUGUGAAGAAGGCCUUAGGGUUGUAAAGCACUUUAGUUCGUGAGGAAGGCUAUCAGGUUAAGAGCUGGAUAGUUUGACGUUAGCGAAAGAAUAAGCACCGGCAAACUCCGUGCCAGCAGCCGCGGUAAUACGGAGGGUGCGAGCGUUAAUCGGAAUGACUGGGCGUAAAGGGUUCGUAGGUGGUCAGAUAAGUCAGAUGUGAAAUACCUGGGCUCAACCUGGGAGGGUCAUUUGAAACUGUUUGACUAGAGUUUACUAGAGGAUUGGGGAAUUUCCGGUGUAGCGGUGAAAUGCGUAGAGAUCGGAAGGAACAUCAAUGGCGAAGGCAACAAUCUGGGGUUGAACUGACACUGAGGGACGAAAGCGUGGGGAUCAAACAGGAUUAGAUACCCUGGUAGUCCACGCUGUAAACGAUGAGUACUAGCUGUUGGUCCUGGUGUAAAAGGAUUAGUGGCGCAGCAAACGCGAUAAGUACUCCGCCUGGGGACUACGGCCGCAAGGUUAAAACUCAAAGGAAUUGACGGGGACCCGCACAAGCGGUGGAGCAUGUGGUUUAAUUCGAUGCAACGCGAAGAACCUUACCUGCCCUUGACAUCCAUAGAAGACGAGAGAGAUUUUGUUGUGCCUUCGGGAACUAUGAGACAGGUGCUGCAUGGCUGUCGUCAGCUCGUGUUGUGAAAUGUUGGGUUAAGUCCCGCAACGAGCGCAACCCUUAUUUUUAGUUGCCAUCAUUAAGUUGGGCACUCUAGAGAGACUGCCGCUGAUAAGGCGGAGGAAGGUGGGGACGACGUCAAGUCAUCAUGGCCCUUACGGGCAGGGCUACACACGUGCUACAAUGGGCAUUACAGAGGGAGGCGAAGGUGCGAGCUGAAGCGAAACUCAGAAAGGUGUUCGUAGUCCGGAUUGCGCUCUGCAACUCGAGCGCAUGAAGUCGGAAUCGCUAGUAAUCGCGGAUCAGCAUGCCGCGGUGAAUACGUUCCCGGGUCUUGUACACACCGCCCGUCACACCAUGGGAGUGGGUUGCAAAAGAAGUAGAUAGUCUAACCGUAAGGGGGACGUUUACCACUUUGUGAUUCAUGACUGGGGUGAAGUCGUAACAAGGUAGCCGUAGGGGAACCUGCGGCUG
rnacentral:rRNA from 1 species